rnacentral:rRNA from 1 species
CCUACGGGUGGCAGCAGUGGGGAAUAUUGCGCAAUGGGCGAAAGCCUGACGCAGCGACGCCGCGUGAGGGAUGAAGGUCUUCGGAUCGUAAACCUCUGUCAGCAGGGAAGAACGGUCACUGUGCUAAUCAGCAGUGAAUUGACGGUACCUGCAAAGGAAGCACCGGCUAACUCCGUGCCAGCAGCCGCGGUAAUACGGAGGGUGCGAGCGUUAAUCGGAAUUACUGGGCGUAAAGCGCUCGUAGGCGGUAUGUCAAGUCAAGGGUGAAAUCCCCGGGCUCAACGUGGGAACUGCCUUUGAAAUUGGCAGACUGGAGUGUGUGAGAGGAUAGUGGAAUUCCAGGUGUAGGGGUGAAAUCCGUAGAUAUCUGGAGGAACAUCAGUGGCGAAGGCGACUAUCUGGCACAAAACUGACGCUGAGGAGCGAAAGCGUGGGUAGCAAACAGGAUUAGAUACCCCUGUAGUC